AAUGAUGAUUACAAAUAUUCUUCACUUUGACCUGAAUCAUUUGUGAUGAAAAUUUAAAAGUAUCUGAUU